rnacentral:rRNA from 1 species
AAAGGUCCGUAACAAGGUCUCCGUUGGUGAACCAGCGGAGGGAUCAUUACUGAGUACUACACUCUCUACCCUUUGUGAACUAUUAUACCUGUUGCUUCGGCGGCGCCCGCAAGGGUGCCCGCCGGUCUCAUCAGAAUCUCUGUUUUCGAACCCGACGAUACUUCUGAGUGUUCUUAGCGAACUGUCAAAACUUUUAACAACGGAUCUCUUGGCUCCAGCAUCGAUGAAGAACGCAGCGAAACGCGAUAUGUAAUGUGAAUUGCAGAAUUCAGUGAAUCAUCGAAUCUUUGAACGCACAUGGCGCCUUCCAGUAUCCUGGGAGGCAUGCCUGUCCGAGCGUCGUUUCAACCCUCGAGCCCCUGUGGCCCGGCGUUGGGGAUCUGCCACGGCAGGCCCCUAAAACCAGUGGCGGACCCGAAGGGCCCUCUCCUUUGCGCAGUAGCAUUCGCCUCGCAUUGGGAGUCCUCGGCGUCCUGCCUCUAAACCCCCCACAAGUCCGCUUCGGCGGCACCAAGGUUGACCUCGGAUCAGGUAGGAAUACCCGCUGAACUUAAGCAUAUCAAUAA